rnacentral:rRNA from 1 species
CAUGGAACCAUCCAUAUACAUGCAGUCGAGCGGACAGAAGGGAGCUUGCUCCCGGAUGUUAGCGGCGGACGGGUGAGUAACACGUGGGUAACCUGCCUGUAAGACUGGGAUAACUCCGGGAAACCGGAGCUAAUACCGGAUAGUUCCUUGAACCGCAUGGUUCAAGGAUGAAAGACGGUUUCGGCUGUCACUUACAGAUGGACCCGCGGCGCAUUAGCUAGUUGGUGGGGUAAUGGCUCACCAAGGCAACGAUGCGUAGCCGACCUGAGAGGGUGAUCGGCCACACUGGGACUGAGACACGGCCCAGACUCCUACGGGAGGCAGCAGUAGGGAAUCUUCCGCAAUGGACGAAAGUCUGACGGAGCAACGCCGCGUGAGUGAUGAAGGUUUUCGGAUCGUAAAGCUCUGUUGUUAGGGAAGAACAAGUGCGAGAGUAACUGCUCGCACCUUGACGGUACCUAACCAGAAAGCCACGGCUAACUACGUGCCAGCAGCCGCGGUAAUACGUAGGUGGCAAGCGUUGUCCGGAAUUAUUGGGCGUAAAGGGCUCGCAGGCGGUUUCUUAAGUCUGAUGUGAAAGCCCCCGGCUCAACCGGGGAGGGUCAUUGGAAACUGGGAAACUUGAGUGCAGAAGAGGAGAGUGGAAUUCCACGUGUAGCGGUGAAAUGCGUAGAGAUGUGGAGGAACACCAGUGGCGAAGGCGACUCUCUGGUCUGUAACUGACGCUGAGGAGCGAAAGCGUGGGGAGCGAACAGGAUUAGAUACCCUGGUAGUCCACGCCGUAAACGAUGAGUGCUAAGUGUUAGGGGGUUUCCGCCCCUUAGUGCUGCAGCUAACGCAUUAAGCACUCCGCCUGGGGAGUACGGUCGCAAGACUGAAACUCAAAGGAAUUGACGGGGGCCCGCACAAGCGGUGGAGCAUGUGGUUUAAUUCGAAGCAACGCGAAGAACCUUACCAGGUCUUGACAUCCUCUGACAACCCUAGAGAUAGGGCUUUCCCUUUCGGGGACAGAGUGACAGGUGGUGCAUGAUGUCGUCAGCUCGUGUCGUGAGAUGGUGGUAGUCCCGCAACGAGCGCACCAUGGAUCUAGUGCAGCAUUAGGUGGCCACUCUAAGUGACUGCGUGAACAACGAGGAAAGGUGGGAAUGAACGUUCCAA